UCAUGAGAAACACCUCCAUGAUCCAAUCACCUCCCACCAGGCCCCACCUCCAACAUUAGAGAUUACAAUUCAACAUGAGAUUUGGGCGGGGACACAGAUCCAAUCCAUAUCAGGCAUCUAACUCCCACACCUGUGGCUGGAGCCCAUGCCACUCACCUCUCCUACUCAAAACUAGAUUGCAAAUUCCCAUCCAGAGACUCUCCAAAUCAGUGACUGCAACCCAUGCUUGUUGGCAGGUUCUUAUACAACCCACUAUGAGUUAGCAUCAAAAAUGGCUUUCUCCUAUCAGCACCCAUGUUUGGGAGUGUGUGUGGGGUACUUCCCAGUGCCGUUCCUUCUCAUGGUCUCCUGACUGCUCCCUGAGUCAGAUCAGGGCUUGGUAAAGUCAAGAAGCUCCUCCAUGGCCUGGAUUGCCUGGCUGUCCAGUGGGAAUGUGUAUCACAGAGACAGUUUCUCCCCGUCUCACACACUGAGGAUUCACUCACAGUUUCCCACCAGAUCCACCCCGCAGGCUGCUGCUUGCCUUAUUUUUCAGAGUAUCCAAAGUUUCUUUCACUUUUAUGUUGAACUCCCGUGUUCUUUCUUGGAUAAAAUUUCACAGUAUGAAUCUCUACACAUUAUUUUGCCUUUUCCAAAUGCAUGAGGCAAGCUGGCAAAGCCACUAUUCUGCUAUGUUGGGGAGAAAAACAGAAAUGGUUGUCUUAAUAGAUACAUGCUUUAAAAUUAAUCUAAGCUAGAUGUAGUUUUCAAUGAACUAAUGUAUAUUGAGUGUCUAUUAUAUAUGGAAUCCAGAGAAGACUGUUUCUUUGUAUUUUUUUUUGUUUUAUAGUACUAUGAUUCAUUUGAAACCUAUUAUCAGCCUUAUGACCAUACCAAGUUGUGCCAGUCAUUUAAAAUUUUUAGUUUUUCAUUAUUCAACAUACAUUGAUAUACAGCCUUACAUGCAUGUCUAUGAGAAAGUGGUAGGAGAAAGCUCUCAGCUGAUUUUUGUGCAACUGAAUGACCAUUAAUGCUUGGCAAUCUUCCCAACUGAAUCUGACUCAAGUAGAAAUAGUUAACAUUAAUCAAAAGAGAUUAAUUACCUGCCACCAGUCUUUUGAAACAGUCUGUCCUGAGAAAAAGAGAAUUCGAUGAUAUGUAAAUCCAUGUUCUUUGGGAAUGCUUAUUUCUCCUUUUCUUGGGAUACAGAAGAAGAGACAGACUCAGAUACAAACCUCAAUACCUGAAAUCAUUAGCUUUGGUCUUGGUGGGAUCAAAACCAAAAAAUAAAAGCUAUUAAUAUGUGAUUGAAUACACAAACACACGUGCGUGCACACACACACACACACAUUUAUUAUAAGGAAUUGGCAUAUGUGAUUAUGGCAACUGGGAAGUCCAAGAAUCUGCAAUGUGGUCUGGCAGGCUCAAGACCCAAGAGAGCUGAUGGUGCAGUUCCAGUCUCACAGAAGUCUGCUGGAGAAUUUCCUCUGGCUUGGAGAAGGUGGUCUUUUCAUUCUACUCAGGUCUUCUAUUGAUUGGAUAAAGUGCACAUACAUCAUGGAGGGCAAUCUUCUUUACUCAGAGGACAUCAGUGUCAAUGUUAUUCCCAUCCAGAAACACCUUCCAAGUUGACACAUAAAAUUAACAAUACACUUUUCCUCAUCUCACCCAAAUUUAGGUUAAGAGUUCUGGAUACCUGAAUUAAUAUUGCCAUUGGAAUGCCACUUUUACUUUUGGAGAAAAAUUAGAAAUAACAUUUUAUAAAAUUAAAAAACUGUAGGCUAGGCACACUGGUUUACACCUAUAAUCCCAGCACUUUUGGAGGCCAAGGCAGGAGGAUCCCUUGAGCCCAGGAGUUCAAGUCUAGCCUGGGCAACAUAAGGAGAUCCUGUCUCUACAAAAAAAAAAAAACAAAAAAACUGUAGCUAGGCAUGGUGGCAUGUGCUUGUAGUCUCAGAUACUCAGAAGGCUGAGGUAGGAGGAUCCCUUGAGCCCAGGAGUUCAAGGCUGCAGUGAGCUGUGAUUAUACCAUGGCACUCCAGCAUGGGUGACAGAGCAAGACUUUAUCUCAAAAAGAAAAAAAAAUACUGUGUUUCUGGUUUGCAAUUAUACUGAGUAUUCCAGAUAUGAAGUGACCAGCUCAUAGCACUUGCAACAAGAUUAUUCUCUUCUGUAGUCUGGUUGCUAUAUUUCUAAUAAUGUGACUCAAGAUUUCAUUCAUUUUACCUCUGGACUUAUCACUCUUUGAACUUUACGGUUUAUCACUAGGUCUUUUUCUCUAAAUGAGCUAUUGUUAGGCCAGUUUUCUUCUUCCUCUUGCAAUCCUGUUUUUCAGUGGUUGAUGGCAUUUAACCUAACGUGGAUUUUCACAUAACAAUUGCUAUUUUAAAAUGUUAUUAGUUACUUAACCCAUAUGAUUUAUCUUAGAACCACAGAACCUCAGAGCUAAAAUGAACAUUUUAUAAUAACAAACCGGGUCCAAAAUAAAUGACUUACAUAGAUUUAUAAGGUAAUUAAUGACAGAGCUGAGUCAAGGAUUCAUGUUUCUUGAUGCCUAGUUUAGUAGUCUUUGAUGCAACAGACAUCAAGUACAUAUUAUAUCUAGAAGUAAUGUAUUAAAGAUAAUCUUUUGGCUUAAAUCAUUUUAGAAUGUGUAACAUCCUUGUAAUACAAGUCAUUACCCAUUUCAACUAGAGAAGAAGAUAUAUAGAAAUAUCAAAUGUUAACAAGGUAAUAGGCCAUUGCUUUUGUGUAAUUCAAAAUUUGAUAAUGAUUUUGUUCUUUGCCCUAGUUAUUGAUAAAAUUCUUAAAGUGAACAUUGCCCUACUGCCUAUUUCUAGGUGCUGUUCCCUUUAAUAAGUAUAUUUUGAACAUCAUUUGUUUAACCCUGUUUUAACCAAUUAGAAAUCUAUCUACUUGAAUUAUGUUCAUUCUCUUCCCUAUGUAUUCUUUUUGAGUAACAAAAUGAGAUUAUUUUAAUAUGACUAGAAAGGAAAUAUAUCUUAAUAUGAGGGUGUACAAACUUUUGUUGUCUUAAAUAAAGAUUGACAUGUCAAAUCUG
rnacentral:lncRNA from 1 species